ACUGGAGUUUAGACCUGUUCUCUCAUUGUGUUCUAGUUUGCCGAGAGUAAUAUAGCUUGAGUACUCAAUUAUAUUAAUGUAAUUUAUUUUAUUCUGAGAGACUAACACUACAUACAAUAAUGCUCCUAGCACCCUCUGG